CACACGCACGAAACCGUUAACGGGUAUUUGCUGCAAUUCAGCGGUCAGUGGCUACAAGAAGAGGGACAAAACUGGUUCAUACAGUGGAGGAGACUUGAAAUGUCCCCAGAUCCACAGCAAGAGCUGAUGCACAUGGAUAAGUGUUUGCAGUUAUUCACAUGCAGUUCAUUUACCUGAAAACCAGCAGUCACAUGCAGUUUCUUGAACUGGGUGCAGCAGUACUCAACCCAGCAGCAGCAGCAGCAGCUACUGAGUGCCAAAGGAAAAUAAAUCAUGAAGAAGCAUUAUUCUGCUGGAAAAAUGAAAUGGAAAAUGACUCUCCUGUAGCCAUAGACUCAUGAGGAGCACAUUACAUUACUAAAACGUUUAGCUUCGUAGUUGCAAACCACCCACUAGAGGUCAGUGGUUUGGAAUAAAAUUAGCACAAGAAGAAAGAGUUCAAUUUCAUUUCAAAUGGCCAAAUCAUAUAAAAUAAAAUUUCCCCCCGUUGAGUAAGGAAAAAGUAUUCUUAAGGUUAGCAGUGCUUACCUUCAUCCUAAAGCAGAAAGCUAGUUUAAAAUUCUUAAAAACAAUACUAGGAACAUAAUAUACCAAAAAAACCUACUCUUAUUCUCUACAGUAAUAUGCAGACAUGCAUAAGAAUGCAGGACUGGAAGAAGCUUCUUGCAUCAUCAGGUCCAGUCUCCUGCUACUCCACCCGUCCUAUAAUCCCUUACAUGACCAAAGAAAGGACCAGCUUAAAAGCAGCUUGAUUCUUUUGCUUAUAAGAAAAAAUAAGAAUUACAAGAAUGUUAAAUAAGCUCGAUCAGUACUUUUAAAGUGCAUAAAGGCAGGAUAUUAGAAAGACCUGUGCAGUGCAAGAAUCUUCUUUCAAAACUAUUUCCAUUAUAAAUGUGUAACACUGCAAAGAGAAAAGGCUGACAGAGGGCAGGAAGAGGCUUUUUCAUCAUAAAGUGCAAAGUGUAUAUCCAAAUAGGAAAAAAACCCUCAUAAUAUUAUGUUUUAUUUACUCAUUUAUCCACUGCUGUAAGCAUACGUACACAUUGAUGCAACUAAACAUCUUACCUCUGCCCCACAGUGAUGUUAAAAAAUUUGAGAUAAUUAGAAAUAGAACCACUGGAUGCUCAAACACAUGCACACUGAACUAAUGCUUGAUGCUAUAACUGUAAUUUUCUAAGAUUUCAAUAUUUCUCUGUAUUAUAGAGUUACACAACUGAAAAUUCUAGUGGACAUGAAAAUUCAGAAAGUCAAUCCUAGAUUUCCAUCUGCUAUUACAAAAAAGCUGUCAUUAAUGGCUUUGAUUUAAACUUUAUCACUGAAAGGAUUCACAGUUUAGUCAGAACCUAACUGAAGUUGCUACAGCAGAAAGUAUGUUGAAAGGGAUUGUAAUAGGAAACAUCUGUCAUCUCAAAACACUGUUCAGAUUUUCUAGAUUGAAAAAAAAGUAAAUCAAAAAAUGUUAAAAUACUACAUUACAAAUAUCAUGUUCUAUGCAAACACAGAGUAGGACAAAACCCCAUGCAGUUUCACAUAUGAAAUCUUCCACCAGAUUGCCAAGAAAAAAACAUAGCAAAGCAACAUGGAAAGAGAAAUGAAAAAAAAAAAAAGCCAAGAAGCCCAGUAAUAAUAUAGACCAGAGCAUUUAUUUCUUUACUUUUCCACUAUAGGAGCUUCAAACAUAAUAGAGAAGAACACAUAAUUCCACUGCAGCUAUUUUCCAUUUUAAGGAAACCAAGAUUACCCUGUCAGUUUGUGUACAAUGUAGCAGCAUCUGAACAUGCUAUUCCAGCAGUAUUUUAAUAGAGAAUAAAUUCAAAAUAAUUUACAGCUUGAAAACUUAAGUACAAUCCAGAGGAUUCUGAUUGCAUGAAACCAUGAAUGGUGAACUGGGGUUUGUGAAAGCAACAGAAUACCCAAUAGGAUUUCCAGACCUCUUUUUAUCACAGAGAUGAACUUUUCUAUGUUCUCAUUAUUUUUAUCCCCAUUCUUCUUCCUUCUCUUUCUGUUGCAUUCCUACUUGUGUGAAAACUAUAGCUGACUUUGCUUUAGCCCUUGCAGAUAAUCUAGCCCUGCACCUUUUUUAAUUUCUGAUUUUCAGAAAUUAAUUUUCCUGGGCAAUAUCUCAACUAACUGUCUUCAUCUAACAUACUCUUCCUCUUCACAUUAGCAAAGGUCAUGAGUGAAUAUUCAUAGGAACACAUACAGCAAAUGAAAAUACCAUGAUCAGCAUUUGUUCAAGGAAACCAGUUUCCUCACCCAAGGCAGGAGUCUGAACUGUUAUAGAACUUCACUCACCUUAAAGCAAGAUAUCAUGAUCAGACACAUGGAAACUGUUAUAGACAUGAACUCAAAUUAUCUUAAAUGAAGAGCAAAGUCUUUCAUGGCUCCUUAAAAUACAAUUCACACUACUGUUUUUACAAAACCACAGCUGUAUGGAGGUAGCCAGCUGUGGUAGAAUAAAGCCCAGCUCGUUGGCACCGGGGUUGAACAGAAGUCCACUAAUAAGUGUGCCAUCACAAAUGAGCUAAGCCUAGCCCAUAAGACGAUGGUAACAUAGGGUCACAUUAUUAACCACACCAGAUCACAAUUUUGCAUACAAGUUGCAAAACAAAUUAUUAUUAUACUGAUAUAAAUUCCAAGUAAAAAAGCACAACUCAUUUUCAGUUCAGCAGUGGCACUUACUUAGGUAGUUGGAUGUAAUCAGACACAAAAUAACCUAUUUUAAAAUUAAAAGGACAAGACUCCUGCCAAAACACAGGUGUACAACUUUCUUUUUUAACACCUGCACUGAAAAUAUGGCAGUGAACAGGGCACAUAGGUAGAUUUUUUCCCACAGAACUUGGGGUUAACUAUGCCAGGUGUAAAGCAGAAUAGUUCCAAUGACUUAAAGACAGGGAUCAGCUUUGUUUUGGUUUUGACAUACACAUUAAUCUUCCUGCUUCUCUAGAAAAAGCAAAUGAGAUGCCUCAAUAGCUCACUGCAUCCUACCCUAUUCUAAACAUACACACACACACAAAAAAUCAAACCCAACACCCAACAUGCACCUACAACAUUUAAUAGAAAAAGCUGUUGGUCAGUAAAAAGUCACUCACAGAUUUGAACUUAAACAAGUGCUGUUUUGCAACACAACACUGAUAAUACUUAAAAUCCAGAAAAAAAUAUACAAUCUGAUUUCAAGAACAAAACCAUAGCCGUAUCAAUACAGAAAACAAUUUAAUUUGUUUCAAAAUAAAUAUUUGACAUACAAAGCACAUACAGUGAAAAAGGGUCACAAUAAAUUACAAAUGGAGAUACUUGCUCAUUCACUGAGAAAAGCCCUUGAUAUUUCCAAUUUCAUAUCAUCAAAUUUAUCAUUCUUGCUGAUUUAAGCACAGCACUGAACAAAUAUGGAUCCCAGUGCUUUCUUUCACAGGUACUGGUAUGGAUAAUUUACUGCAGUGAUCCAAUUUGAAAAUCAGUAGGGACCAGUAAAUCACUGCAUAAAAGAAAGAGCGAAUGAGGUGCUUUUUCCUUAGUGUCAGCAGCCUGCGAUUAUUAUGUUUAUUAGAUUUUCUUGAAAGGGCUUCACAUUUUUUCAAAUAUGCAGGAGAACUAUAUUUCCCCUCUGAGCCCUUACAUUAGCAUUUUGUGCCUCAGUCCUUGAAUACAAGUAAAAGAUGAAUUUUUCAAUUAAUUUUAAAAGUUUAUACCAUCUGGAUGGCACAGAACUAAGCAAUGAAACUCCCUUACCUGCACAACAUCUGCUAUUAUCACAGAGCUAGCUUCUGCAGAGAAGUUAGUAAGUAAUGCUGACAUUUUAUGAGAAAGAUUUUUGAAUCCACAUUUAAGAUUAAAUUCUAUUACAUUAUCCAUACUGAUAAUGCAUCUUUGAAAUAAAGGAUUGCUUAAGAUUCUGUCCUUAAAAGGCGAUUUAAAACAGCGAAGCCUGACUGCUCCUGUGACUUUAAGAAAAUUACAGCACAAUAGAAGUUACAACACAAUGAUACACUAGCCAAUUUCAGUAUAUAUAGUUUAACCAUAAUAGAUGCACUGCAGCAAUUAAAAAUUAUAGACAAUUAUAAGAUUAGCAUACCCUACUACCAUCUAGCACAUUAAGUGCUUGCCAUCUUGUUCUGUUGUAUUAUUUUUCAUCAGUGCAGAGAUGAUGAUGCAAGGGACCAUACCUAGCUCUUGCAUGUGGAAAUCAGGUUUUGAUACUGCUUUAACAGGGCAUGCUGUCUAGUUCAAUGUCUUUUCUGCCCUUAAUCUGAGCACUGUAAGGUAUAGUACUUUUUUAAGUAUUUAAGCCAGCAUAAUUGGUAUAAUUUUGGGAGCAGGACCAACAAGUCAUGUGUGGUAUAGAAACAAAUCAGUUUCCUCUGGGCACUUGUCCAACUCUCUUUGUCCUAUUUCCUGCUCUGCCAGAGCUCUUACACCCCCUCAGGAAAGUGCUCUUUUCUUCCAUGUCUCCAUUCCUGUCUGUAAAAUGGACAAGAACUACACUUCCUUAAUAAACAUGGGAUCUGUACAGCAAAUGUUACACUACAGGUGCCUAACAAAGAAACAGUCCAACACAGAUUGUACAAAAUAACCAGACACGUUAUUUGUUUGGACAGUACUAUAACAUAUAUAGUUAGCAGCUCAAAAACUGUUGGAAGAAAUAGUGGCUCACGAUUGUAAUGGAUUUUUUUUUUAAAUCCCUAAAACAUGCAACUUCAAAUAUUAACAGAUAUUGCUCACCUUAAGCAUCCAUCAAAGAAGGGAGCAAAAUAUAAAACUGACAGCACAGAAAUUACAAUAAAAGUAUACAAUUAAAUAAAAGGCGAUAAAGGAAAGGAUGGAUGUAUUGGUGAGUUACUUGGUGUGUAAGAAAUCCCAGCUGGCAUUAGCUAUUCCAAAAGUCUCCAUUGGCUCUUGAUACUUUAUUUACCUACAGGUGACAACAGAAACUGUUAUGCUGGAGCGUCACUUCUACUUGUUUGUGCAGAGCAAGGGGUGGCUCUACUCACAGAAUCUAUGCAACAGCACUUAUCUUAUGAAAGCUGAGAUGACAAAAAGCAAUGACCAGUGUGAUUUAUACCAGUGGAAACAGUUACCUAACACUAACUGGAGUUUCCAUUUACUCACCCUUCCUGGAAGCAAUACCCUUUUAAUCACCAAGCAUGUGCCAAAGCAGUGAAAGAGAGAAGCCAAAACCUUUUGGAAGAUGUGCAGAAUAGAUGUGCAAGAUUCCUUCCAGUUGCUUUCUGUGUCAGCAUUUUCAUAACUCUCAACAUUUUGUUAUAUUCCUGUGUUACUAAGAUAAAUGAAACAUAAGCUGCAAGUGUAAGCUUAAGACUGUACAAAGAAAUAUGAUAAAUUUAUAUAUAUCUUUUGUAAAAUUGGGGGUAUGACACAAGGAUUGGCAUGUGAUUGAAUCGGUCUUGCCAGUGUAUUUUAUUUGCAAUGUCCAACUCAUUAAGGACAUGAAAAAAUUGCAAAUUUAGGAAUGGAAAGAAAGAUGGGCAAGUAUUAUUUUAGUAAAUUAAUUAAAUGAAGCUUAGGAAGAUUUUAGAAAUCUUGAGCAAGAGACCAUAUCAACAAAUGGAGGAACAUGGUAAAUUAUGGAUGUAAACUUGUGACUAUCUGUAGUGUUUGAUUAUAAGUGACACAGCAGGAAAGAUUGAUAAGCACCCCCUUGCAAGCUCAGAGAAGUAUCUGAAAGUGUAUUGAUCAAUGCUGAACUCUUUACUGAGUUGUUGGUAAAUGGCGUCCUUAUCUCAUACUAAUCACAGGCUAUACUGAGGAAAUAAAAAGAGGACAAGGAACAAAACUUUCCAAAGGAGAAGUUCUGUUAUGAUGCAGGGAAUGUUAGCUCUAUGUUUGCAUAGAAACAUGAAAAGAAAUAUUUGCUUUUUAAAAUAAUAUCUGUUGUAUGAUCUGAGCAAAAAAGCCACAAAGAUGGAUGACUAACACUCGACAUGGUUCUGCACUAAUAGCUAAAAACUAAUAACACUAUAAUCUGUGGUCCAGUCGUUUUUAGCACAGAUACUAUUAUUAUAUUUCUGCCACUCAUUC